rnacentral:piRNA from 1 species
UAGGGCCUUCUACGUGUGUUUGAGC